rnacentral:rRNA from 1 species
AACGAACGCUGGCGGCGUGCCUAACACAUGCAAGUCGGGCGAGAAAGCCCGCAAGGGUGAGUAAAGCGGCGCACGGGUGCGUAACACGUGGGUAAUCUGCCCUGGAGUCCGGAAUAACUCGCCGAAAGGCGUGCUAAUGCCGGAUAAGACCACGGGAACUUCGGUUCCUGCGGGAAAAGGUGGCCUCUGUACACAAGCUAUCACUCCUGGAUGAGCCCGCGGCCCAUCAGCUAGUUGGCGGGGUAACGGCCCACCAAGGCUACGACGGGUAGCUGGUCUAAGAGGACGAUCAGCCACACUGGAACUGAGACACGGUCCAGACUCCUACGGGAGGCAGCAGUGGGGAAUUUUGCGCAAUGGGGGAAACCCUGACGCAGCAACGCCGCGUGAGUGAUGAAGGCCUUCGGGUCGUAAAGCUCUGUCAGAGGGGAAGAAGUGCAGUGGUGCUAAUAUCGCCAUUGUUUGACGGUACCCUCAAAGGAAGCACCGGCUAACUCCGUGCCAGCAGCCGCCGUAAUAC